UUAAACAAAAAUAUAUAUUACUCCAUCCGUUUCACAAAGAUAGAUUUUCUAUCGCUUUCGCACAUGUUAAGAAAACACAUUAAAUCACUAUAUUAAAUAUAUCGUUUUCUACAAUUUUCAAUUGUCAAAAACUUUUAACCAAUAGUAAUUCAAUAAAAUCAAUUAAUUUUCUUGAAGUUUACAAUUUUUUCAUAAAAAACACAAAAUAUAUAUCCUUAUGAAACAAACUUCUUUUCUAAAACAUCUAUUUUUUUUUAAACGGAUGGAGUAUUAUUUUCAGCAACUAAAGAUCAAAUAUCAUUAGAGGACCUUAAACAGAAAGCCCUGAAAGUUUAGGUGAAUAUAUACGCAAAACUUGGCUAAACUAUCUGCCAACUCAUUUAAAGAACAACAGCAAUAGGAAAAACAAUAAAAAGAAAGAAAAAAGAGGAAAGUGAAGAGAUGUCCGAGAUAACUCCUUGAAGUUCAAUCGAUCCACCAUUCGCGUUGAUAGCUCUCACGAGCUCUUGAGCAUCUUAACGAAACCAGAUCUUAGUGUAGCCAAGGGUUGAGGCAUGGAUCAAAGCCUCUCUAAUUGCAAAUUCCGACAUGCAAACGAACCCUUAUAAGAAUAUUUAGCGCAACUUUAGAAUAUACAUAUAUACGAGUAUGAGUAUACAACUGAUGUUUCAGUAACAUACAUCAUGGAUAUUUGAUCUUUAUAUAAAUAUUUGAUGAACGAAAGAACCUUAAUCCAACAAUUAUCUAGAGAUAUGUGAGAGAAUAUUCUCUUUUUUCUCUCUUUCCCGAAAAAACGUUUUUUGUCGAAAAUCUAUUGAUCUGCAUUUAGUGGCUGGCAGUGGUUCUCUUACCGUCGGUCGCCACCCUUCAUUGUUCUCAUGUCUGUUAUUCAAACAUGUUUUGUUCCAGUUUUACCACUCCCUCUUUCCUCUUCAUCUUUAGUUUUGUGUUGGAUUGCGGUCGGAUCCAGUAAAUCAAAUCAGAUGUUAGAUGUGUAACACAAUCUUUUUGGAGUGACAGCAAAUUCGUGGUUAUUCGACUGCCUGCAAGAAGCACCUUUUGCAGAAUUUUUCCGUUUAGAUUCUACGAUCUGAGACAAAAAGCGACGUUGAGGACAUUGCCGAGGACUUCCUUUUCGUUCUGAUUUCACAACAGCUACCAUGGCCUUUUGUUUGAUUACAUAUCUAUUAUAGUGCUUUGGCUUGUUAAAGGGUUUUAUGUUGUUUCCAUGCAUUUCUUCUUCACUACAGAUCUGGAUCCUUUCACCCCUAGUGAAUGUUGAUGGGAGUCUCAGUCUCUUCAGUUUCUAAUAUUCCUAGAAGAGUGGUGGCUACCACCGUUUCUUGCCAUUUCAACGUUCUGAAACCGGAAUCUUUUUGUGCUUUGCUCGCGAGAAGAGACCGAGUCGAGCCAUUAACCCUCUGCUUACUUCUGCUAGUUUCACAUUGAAGCAUUCGACCGCUGGCCUCUUCUCGUUAAAUAGGGAUUCACUGGAAACAGCUUUUGGAGUGUACAUCGUUUAGAGUUGACUUUACUGGGUGAUGGCUGGACUAAGACCUUGUCAACUCUGCUCUGCUUGUCAUUCUUUCGAAGUCACCUUCAGAAAAAUCUACGGUUCUUCGGAUUGUUCUUCGGCCGUUAUUUCUAUUAUUAUCCUUGCUAUUGUUAUAGGUUCCUGCAAUCAAUCUAAGCAUCAAUGUACUGGAACCCAAUGGCUUUCCACAAUCUACGGUUCCUCCGAUUGUUCUUCGGCUGUUAUUUCUAUUAUGAUCCUUGCUAUUGUUA